rnacentral:rRNA from 1 species
CAAGUCGAACGAUGAAGCCCUUCGGGGUGGAUUAGUGGCGAACGGGUGAGUAACACGUGGGCAAUCUGCCCUGCACUCUGGGACAAGCCCUGGAAACGGGGUCUAAUACCGGAUGACACUUCCUUCCGCAUGGGAGGAGGUUGAAAGCUCCGGCGGUGCAGGAUGAGCCCGCGGCCUAUCAGCUUGUUGGUGGGGUGAUGGCCUACCAAGGCGACGACGGGUAGCCGGCCUGAGAGGGCGACCGGCCACACUGGGACUGAGACACGGCCCAGACUCCUACGGGAGGCAGCAGUGGGGAAUAUUGCACAAUGGGCGAAAGCCUGAUGCAGCGACGCCGCGUGAGGGAUGACGGCCUUCGGGUUGUAAACCUCUUUCAGCAGGGAAGAAGCGAAAGUGACGGUACCUGCAGAAGAAGCGCCGGCUAACUACGUGCCAGCAGCCGCGGUAAUACGUAGGGCGCAAGCGUUGUCCGGAAUUAUUGGGCGUAAAGAGCUCGUAGGCGGCUUGUCACGUCGGAUGUGAAAGCCCGGGGCUUAACCCCGGGUCUGCAUUCGAUACGGGCAGGCUAGAGUGUGGUAGGGGAGAUCGGAAUUCCUGGUGUAGCGGUGAAAUGCGCAGAUAUCAGGAGGAACACCGGUGGCGAAGGCGGAUCUCUGGGCCAUUACUGACGCUGAGGAGCGAAAGCGUGGGGAGCGAACAGGAUUAGAUACCCUGGUAGUCCACGCCGUAAACGUUGGGAACUAGGUGUUGGCGACAUUCCACGUCGUCGGUGCCGCAGCUAACGCAUUAAGUUCCCCGCCUGGGGAGUACGGCCGCAAGGCUAAAACUC